rnacentral:rRNA from 1 species
GCGCCGGAGCAGGUCAUAACCAGUAACAGUCGAGCGGAACGAUGGAAGCUUGCUUCCAGGCGUCGAGCGGCGGACGGGUGAGUAAUGCAUAGGAAUCUGCCCGAUAGUGGGGGAUAACGUGGGGAAACUCACGCUAAUACCGCAUACGUCCUACGGGAGAAAGCAGGGGAUCUUCGGACCUUGCGCUAUCGGAUGAGCCUAUGUCGGAUUAGCUAGUUGGUGAGGUAACGGCUCACCAAGGCGACGAUCCGUAGCUGGUCUGAGAGGAUGAUCAGCCACACUGGGACUGAGACACGGCCCAGACUCCUACGGGAGGCAGCAGUGGGGAAUAUUGGACAAUGGGGGAAACCCUGAUCCAGCCAUGCCGCGUGUGUGAAGAAGGCCUUCGGGUUGUAAAGCACUUUCAGCGAGGAAGAAGGCCUGAGGGCUAAUACCCUUCAGGAAGGACAUCACUCGCAGAAGAAGCACCGGCUAACUCCGUGCCAGCAGCCGCGGUAAUACGGAGGGUGCGAGCGUUAAUCGGAAUUACUGGGCGUAAAGCGCGCGUAGGUGGCUUGAUAAGCCGGUUGUGAAAGCCCCGGGCUCAACCUGGGAACGGCAUCCGGAACUGUCAGGCUAGAGUGCAGGAGAGGAAGGUAGAAUUCCCGGUGUAGCGGUGAAAUGCGUAGAGAUCGGGAGGAAUACCAGUGGCGAAGGCGGCCUUCUGGACUGACACUGACACUGAGGUGCGAAAGCGUGGGUAGCAAACAGGAUUAGAUACCCUGGUAGUCCACGCCGUAAACGAUGUCGACUAGCCGUUGGGUUCCUUGAGAACUUUGUGGCGCAGUUAACGCGAUAAGUCGACCGCCUGGGGAGUACGGCCGCAAGGUUAAAACUCAAAUGAAUUGACGGGGGCCCGCACAAGCGGUGGAGCAUGUGGUUUAAUUCGAUGCAACGCGAAGAACCUUACCUACCCUUGACAUCGUGCGAACUUGGUAGAGAUACCUUGGUGCCCUUCGGGAACGCACAGACAGGUGCUGCAUGGCUGUCGUCAGCUCGUGUUGUGAAUGUGGGUUAGUCCCGUAACGAGCGCAACCCUGUCCUAUUUGCCAGCGAUUCCGUCCGUACUCUAGGGAGACUGCUGAUGAACAACCGGAAGGAAGGGUUGGGGGAC